ACAGAAGAAAAUGUCCAAUUAGUGGAGUCCAUUUUUGGUCUAGUUGUGCUUUCUAGAGAGUGCAUUGUAGAACUAUACAAUCUUUAUCAGAUUCCUACUGAGUUUGAUUGUAUCUAGCCCGACCCUCAUGAAUACCCUUGGAGUCACGGCCGAGAUGUUGCUUGUGUUUUUAAGGAGGCGUUGAUCACCGGCCUCCGAUUUCCCCUACAUCCUUUUUGAUCCUUUGGUGUUGUCAUACUAUGGUGUUUCCUUAGGUGAUCUUUACCCCAACAUAGUUCGGACUCUAGUAGGGAUGAUCUUCUUAUGCCACCAUUGUGGCUUUCCUUUAGAUCUAGAUAUCUUCUCCAGCCCUAUGAAAAAAGUUCCCAAUGUUUCUUUAUGUUUCUAUCUCCCCUUCUAUGGUGGCUAUACGGUGUUAACUGAGUUUCCCUCCAAGGUUAAGGACUAGAAGAGUAGGUAGUUCUUCCUUUCUAAAAGUAGUGGUUGGAACAUGAGUACUAUUUGGUAGAGUGAGUGUCAGGGUUUUGGUGUAGAGUUGAAUGGAGAGCUGUGAGCUAYGGUUUAGGAUUUUGUCCCCCAAAAGGUUCUAGUAGAGACCCUUUUGGCCGAGCCCAUGCUUAUACAGGCCGACCUAAGUCGUGUAGAUAUGGCAAGGAUGGAGUCUAAUGAGGGGCAUUUUUGUCAACCCACUUGAUGGAGGACACGUGGACACUGUCAGCAACACAACGUCCAACUCAGCAAGACAGCUCUCCAGUUCAACACGUGGCAGUUUAUAAUAGGUGUGUGGCUGAGCUGAAGCGAUCUCGACCCACCGACAACAACAACUCGCCUGAAACCGUCCCGCGCGCCAUAUCUGGUUUAGUACCAUUACCGAAACUAUAGGGACUACUCGCCGAACUGCACGCCAUGAGACUUGUAGGCAAACUGUAACUGUUGUGCRAACUUAGCAACUAUAAAAGAACCUAGGGACACUCUAAAAGGUAUGCGCACAUAAGCUCUCACUCUCUCUCAAAUUCUCUAAAAGAACCACUCACUAACUUAAGCAUCGGAGUGUCACCCUGGGUAAAACUUACCCAAGCACUAUAACCUCUCUUCAUUUCAGCAACUCUCAGCUCGGUUUCAUAAAUUGGCACAAUAGCUCGGCUUACCACAGAUUGAACCCAGACCGAACCACCUCACCAAACACACGGGACUGAAUAGAUUCUAUGCUUUAUUUAUUGGUGGGCAUAUUUUGUGCUUCAUCGAGUCGAUGUUGGAGGCAUCUAAAAAGAAAGAUUCAAGGAAGAAGUGAAGGGCCGAGCGUCAUUCAUCAAUGGAGGGUACCUUGACUAGUGCCGAGGUGAGGUCACACUCGUUCACCCCCUCCUGUCUUCGAUCUCGAGGUAGGCAACGACCCAAUGAGUAUCGAUCGAUAUUCCAUGGGCCCUACAGUCUCUCAACCUUAGAUCAACUAGGAGGAAUGUGUUGCUGACCCUUAUACAUCGGACAUACCUCACUUCGUUCUGUGUGCCAACAUCUCUGUACUCGAUUGCAUAACCAAUGCCUACGUAGCUCUUCGGGUGGCAAGGGGCAUGUUGCUUCCUGAGGAUGUGCGGUAUUAUCGCAGCUUGAACCCAGUUGACACCAGGACUUGGUUGACUCUAUGCAUUGUCCAGGUAGGCGAACACCAUAGGGCAGGUCCUAUUGGAUCAGGUUGCUAUGAGCCARAAGGAGAGAAGCAAACUGUAGGCCAAUGUUGGCCUACCUCAGAUGCAUGGGAUCUACCUCAGUGCAGAGGAAGACUAUUAGUGAUUCAUUGAGCUGAGCAGGAAAAUGCAGCAUGAGCUGGCCGAGGCCCGAGAAACCAUUGCUGCCCAAGAGAGACAACUGGAAGAGAAGCGGACCAAGUAUGCUGAAGAUAUCCACCAGGCCGAGGAGGCAACUGUUGCUUGUUUCCAUAGCUCUCCUGAAUAUGAUAUGGAAAAGGUGGAGCUAUUAAUCCCUACAAUGCRAAAGGGGUUUAAACUCUGUCAUCAUUGCUUAAGGACACUGCAUUCCAAUUUUGAUUUUGGCAUUUUUUCUGUGAACUAUGUGCCGAAUGAGCUUGCUGUGUAGGUCGAUAGGGAGCCCUUGACUCCCGAGGAGGGUGAAGGAGUAGAUGGCGAAGAAGAGCCUACGAGCUUGUGAGCUAUAGGGCGGUUAUGAAGAUUACGUCAACUUGACUAGUUUCUGUUUCUUCUGGUGUUUCUGGGAGCCUGCGAGCUCUUGGAAGGUGAUCUCUUGGGCCUGUGUGUCCGAACAUCCAAACUUAUUGAUGCUAAGUUUUUUUUUCUUUACAUACAUGUAUCUCGAUCACUGGCCUUUUUGCUUAAUAAA